UACAGAGGUCUCAAGCGUUGUUCGGAUUCAUUGGGCGUAAAGGGUGCGUAGGUGGCGGUGUAAGUCAGGUGUGAAAUUUCGGAGCUUAACUCCGAAACUGCAUUUGAUACUGCCUUGCUUGAGGACUGGAGAGGAGACUGGAAUUCACGGUGUAGCAGUGAAAUGCGUAGAGAUCGUGAGGAAGACCAGUGGCGAAGGCGGGUCUCUGGACAGUUCCUGACACUGAGGCACGAAGGCCAGGGGAGCAA
rnacentral:rRNA from 1 species